rnacentral:tRNA from 2 species
GGCCCCUUCAUCUAGCGGUCAGGAUACCACCCUUUCACGGUGGCUACAGGGGUUCGAGUCCCCUAGGGGUCACCA